GCCUGGGUGGCGGAACUGGUAGACGCAAGGGACUUAAAAUCCCUCGUAGUUUUACUACGUGAGGGUUCGAUUCCCUCCCUAGGCACCA
rnacentral:tRNA from 1 species